rnacentral:ncRNA from 1 species
GUCGGCAUCGUGACCGUCGAACCGACGGCCGUGCCUGUCGUCACCGAACUGCCGGGCCGUACCAAUGCGUUUCUCGUGGCGCAAGUGCGCGCGCGGGUGGACGGCAUCGUGCUGCGCCGCGAAUUCACCGAAGGCAGCCAGGUGAAGGCCGGCCAGCGUCUCUACAAGAUCGA